CAGGUCCUGCAACAGCAAUUGGAGGCACAGUGCCAUCUAGUGGAAAGGGGGAGAAAAGCCCCGCUCUGGUCCUUUUUUUUUUUUUUUUUUUAAAUUAGCAGAGUGUCAUUGAAAUAGACCAAAGAAUCAGCUGUCCUCCUUUGAUAUCAAAGAAGCUUGAGAACCAGAGAAGGAAAUGGGCUUCCCAAAUGUCACACAGCCAGCCAGAGGCAGCUUCAACAUUACAGAAUCUCGUCGGUCGAGCCUUGGUUCCGCCCUCUUGUAGCUGUAGAUUCCACAGUAAAGAAACCAGAAGAUAAACGAGCUUCUAGUGUCUGUUAGGUGGCAUUUCAGACCUCUGCUGAGGUGGAGGGGAACACAGGGCCUUCCCUGGACUCCUGGACCGUCAUCAUGCCAGCCAGAAGGUCGAGCUUGUCCUGCUCCAAACCGAAGAUUCCUGGCAGAGUCCUGAGUAGUGAACACCCGUUCUGGAAAGCUGGCAGAGCAAGCGUCCACAACAGCCCCACGGUGCAGAGGAGGCCGAGAUUCACAAAGGCUCUAGGCAUCUGUUUGCUGAGCUGG
rnacentral:lncRNA from 1 species